rnacentral:rRNA from 1 species
GACGAACGCUGGCGGCGUGCCUAAUACAUGCAAGUAGAACGCACAGUUUAUACCGUAGCUUGCUACACCAUAGACUGCGGGUUGCGAACGGGUGAGUAACGCGUAGGUAACCUGCCUGGUAGCGGGGGAUAACUAUUGGAAACGAUAGCUAAUACCGCAUAAUAUUAAUUAUUGCAUGAUAAUUAAUUGAAAGGUGCAAUUGCACCACUACCAGAUGGACCUGCGUUGUAUUAGCUAGUAGGUGAGGUAACGGCUCACCUAGGCGACGAUACAUAGCCGACCUGAGAGGGUGAUCGGCCACACUGGGACUGAGACACGGCCCAGACUCCUACGGGAGGCAGCAGUAGGGAAUCUUCGGCAAUGGACGAAAGUCUGACCGAGCAACGCCGCGUGAGUGAAGAAGGUUUUCGGAUCGUAAAGCUCUGUUGUAAGAGAAGAACGGGUGUGAGAGUGGAAAGUUCACACUGUGACGGUAUCUUACCAGAAAGGGACGGCUAACUACGUG